AUUGAACGCUGGCGGCACGCCUUACACAUGCAAGUCGAACGGCAGCACGGGUGCUUGCACCUGGUGGCGAGUGGCGAACGGGUGAGUAAUACAUCGGAACAUGUCCUGUAGUGGGGGAUAGCCCGGCGAAAGCCGGAUUAAUACCGCAUACGAUCUACGGAUGAAAGCGGGGGACCUUCGGGCCUCGCGCUAUAGGGUUGGCCGAUGGCUGAUUAGCUAGUUGGUGGGGUAAAGGCCUACCAAGGCGACGAUCAGUAGCUGGUCUGAGAGGACGACCAGCCACACUGGGACUGAGACACGGCCCAGACUCCUACGGGAGGCAGCAGUGGGGAAUUUUGGACAAUGGGCGAAAGCCUGAUCCAGCAAUGCCGCGUGUGUGAAGAAGGCCUUCGGGUUGUAAAGCACUUUUGUCCGGAAAGAAAUCCUUGGCUCUAAUACAGUCGGGGGAUGACGGUACCGGAAGAAUAAGCACCGGCUAACUACGUG
rnacentral:rRNA from 1 species